rnacentral:rRNA from 1 species
UACGAAGGGGACUAGCGUUGUUCGGAAUCACUGGGCGUAAAGCGCACGUAGGCGGAUAUGUCAGUCAGGGGUGAAAUCCCGGGGCUCAACCUCGGAACUGCCUUUGAUACAGCAUAUCUUGAGUCCGAUAGAGGUGGGUGGAAUUCCUAGUGUAGAGGUGAAAUUCGUAGAUAUUAGGAAGAACACCGGUAGCGAAGGCGGCCCACUGGAUCGGUACUGACGCUGAGGUGCGAAAGCGUGGGGAGCAAACAGG